rnacentral:rRNA from 1 species
UACGAAGGGGGCUAGCGUUGCUCGGAAUUACUGGGCGUAAAGCGCACGUAGGCGGUUUCUUAAGUCGGGGGUGAAAUCCUGGAGCUCAACUCCAGAACUGCCUUCGAUACUGGGAAACUUGAGUCCGGGAGAGGUGAGUGGAACUGCGAGUGUAGAGGUGAAAUUCGUAGAUAUUCGCAAGAACACCAGUGGCGAAGGCGGCUCACUGGCCCGGAACUGACGCUGAGACGCGAAAGCGUGGGGAGCAAACAGG